rnacentral:misc_RNA from 1 species
UACGGAGGGUGCAAGCGUUACCCGGAAUCAUUGGGCGUAAAGCGUCCGCAGGCGGUCUGUUAAGUCAGGUAUUAAAUCUUGGAGCCCAACUUCAAGGCUGUAUCUGAAACUACCAGACUAGAGACUUUCAGAGGUAUGUGGAAUUCUGUGUGUAGGGGUAAAAUCCGUAGAUACACAGAGGAACAUCAAAAGCGAAGGCAGCAUACUGGGAAAGUUCUGACGCUCAUGGACGAAAGCGUGGGUAGCGAACGGG